rnacentral:rRNA from 1 species
GACGAACGCUGGCGGCGUGCCUAACACAUGCAAGUCGAGCGGGAGUUUCCUUCGGGAAACUUUUAGCGGCGGACGGGUGAGUAACACGUGGGUAACCUGCCUCAUAGAGGGGGAUAGCCUCCCGAAAGGGAGAUUAAUACCGCAUAAUAUCUGAGAAUCGCAUGGUUUUCAGAUUAAAGCAGAAAUGCACUAUGAGAUGGACCCGCGGCGCAUUAGCUAGUUGGUGAGGUAACGGCUCACCAAGGCCACGAUGCGUAGCCGACCUGAGAGGGUGAUCGGCCACAUUGGAACUGAGACACGGUCCAGACUCCUACGGGAGGCUG